rnacentral:tRNA from 1 species
GUGCCCGUAGCUCAGCUGGAUAGAGCGUUCGGCUACGAACCGAGAGGUCGUGGGUUCGAAUCCCGCCGGGCACA